CCGCGGGACGCGCCCGCCUUAACCCUCCAGGCGCCGGGCCCGCUGGGGGCGCUGAGAGGGGCUGGUGUGCCGGGGGCGCCUUCCUGCUUGGGGCCGACGGGGGUGUGUGAGUGCAGGCGUGUGCGUGUGUGUGCGCAUGUGUGUGUGUGGAUGUGCGUGUGCGUGUGUAUGCCUGUGUGUGUUUGUGUGUGCGUCUGUGUGCAUGUGUGUGUGCACAUGCAUGUGUGUUCACGUGAGUGCAUCUCAUCUGUCACCCACAACCAGGGGAGCGGUGCUUGUACAACCAGCUGGUGGCUUCUGCAACCAGCAGCUUCUGGCCGUGCAGCUCCCUGUAGGGAAUAUGAGUUAAUCUGGAUGUCAGCCUAAGAUGUAGUCAGGGAGAGUGGUUUUUGGGAGCCCGGCAGCUAUCUGGACCCGUGUGCACCCCUGGACGCCUCCCUCCCUCGCAGAGGGUCCUGGUUCAUCUCGUCUGUUGCCUCUUAGAACAGUGGCCUCUACCUCGCCAGGUCCUUCAGAAGCGCCCCCCUCCCUGCCCCGCCACUGUUUUCCCAACAGCACCCGCCGUGGUCUGAGGACACUUUCUUCUGCUCCUGUUUAUUGUUUAUCUCCCCCAAGCACAAGCAGUCGAGUUAAGACAGGAGCCUCGUUCAAAGUUCCGCCCGGGGCCAGGCACAGCGCAGGCUCUCAGAGGAGGGCCCAGGAGUCCACAGGCUGCGGCGGCGCGAGACAAAAGUCGGAAGACAGGACCCCGCUGAGGAGUGAGGAGACAGCGGCCAACCCUCCGCCAGACCCUUCCGCCUGGUGCCUUUACUGGGCUCUGAGGAGGAAUUUGGUGGUUCAGUCGGCCCAUCCGUGGACACCAUAAAAACAAAGAGAAAACAGACACACACAGAUGCACACAUAGAUACACACAGAUACACACAGACACGGAUAUAUAGACACACACAGAUACACACACGUGGACACAGACACACACAUAGACACAGAUAUAUAGACACACACAGAUACACACACGUGGACACAAACACACACAGACAUACCCAUAGUUACGGAUAUAUGCAUGGAUACACAAUACACAGACACACAGAUGAUACAUGCAUAGACAGAUAUAUGGACACACACACACGGACACACAGAUACACACAUAGACACAUAGACAGACACAGAUACAGACACAGGCACAUGUAGACACACAUGGACAUACAAUACUCAGAUGAACACAGAGAUAAUAUACACAUAGACACAGAUCUAUAGAUACACAAAGACAUACACACAGAUAUACAUAGAUGCACACAUAGACACAGAUACACAUGUCAUCACACAUGGACACACACAGACACACACCAAUACACACAUAGACAUACGAAGACACAGGUACACAGACACGUAUACACACAGACACGCAUAUAUACAUACAGACGCAGAUAUACACACAGACACAGACAUACACACACACACAGACACAGAUAUACACAGAUACAUGGACAGAUACACAUUCACAUACACACAUAGAUACACAGAAACACACAGACACACAGACACAUAGAGACACACACACAGCCACACAGGCCCUGAGCCUCCCUGGGCCCUCCCUUGUGCAGAGGCGGAGGGGCUGGCUGUCGGGGAGGGCACCUGGAGAGGACACACAGCCCCAUCAGAGACCAGGGAGUGGCUCUGGGAGCUCUUUUCGUCCAAAGGGGCUGGAGCUCCAGUUAGCCAAGGUGAGCGCCAGGUGGUGACAGGAAUGACAUAGGAAAAUAAGACGGCCCGGGCAGGGAGGGCUGCCUGCUCUGGGUGUGAGGGGAUUGCUGUCUUAGACCACGUGGCCCAGGAAGGCCUCCAGGCAUGGCUUUGCACAGAAGCUGGUACCUGAGGGCUCAGCCCCGUGGAGGCCUGCGGGGUGGAAAUGCCAAGGCUGGGGCAGGGGCAUGUCUGACCCUCUGCGGGGAGAGAAGGCCUGUGAGGUGGGCAUUGUGUGAGGGGCCAAGUGGCCUCUGUAAGGUCUGCAGGUGGGGCCAGGCUGUGGGCUGCGUCCUGAGUGAGGGGGCCGUGGGAAGGCUGGGGACAGAGGGACGACGCUGGGUCUUGGGUCGGGAGAGGCUCACCUAGGGGCCGGGUGGAUGGGUCUAAGGAGGGCUAAGGGCGGGGCAGGGAGAGCAGCUGUGUGGUGAGGACGAAGGGAGGUCGGCCAGAGCCCCCGGGGAAGGGCUGUUGUCAUGUGGAUGAGCUGGGAAUUAGGAAAGCUUGUGGAUUGCGAGGCCUCAGUAUGCAAAGCCCUGGGACAGACGGGCCCCCCAGGAAUGAGGGGGGCAGACGGGCUCCCCAGGAAUGAGGGGGGCAGACGGGCUCCCCAGGAAUGAGGGGGACAGAUGGGAUCCCCAGGAAUGAGGGGGGACAGAUGGGUCCCCCAGGAAUGGGGGGGGCAGACAGGCUCCCCAGGAAUGAGGGGGGCAGACGGGCUCCCCAGGAAUGAGGGGGGCAGACGGGCUUCCCAGGAAUGAGGGGGACAGAUGGGCUCCCCAGGAUAAGGGGGGACAGAAGACCCCAGGCCUGAGGACCAGGCCUGCCCCCUGGCACCACCAGACACCAGGAGGGCACUGCUGCUCUUAAUUGAAAGUCUUGGUG
rnacentral:lncRNA from 10 species